rnacentral:rRNA from 1 species
ACGAACGCUGGCGGCGUGCUUAACACAUGCAAGUCGAACGGAAAGGCCUCUUUCGGGGGGUACUCGAGUGGCGAACGGGUGAGUAACACGUGAGUAACCUGCCCUUGACUUUGGGAUAACUUCAGGAAACUGGGGCUAAUACCGGAUAGGAGCUCCUGCUGCAUGGUGGGGGUUGGAAAGUUUCGGCGGUUGGGGAUGGACUCGCGGCUUAUCAGCUUGUUGGUGGGGUAGUGGCUUACCAAGGCUUUGACGGGUAGCCGGCCUGAGAGGGUGACCGGCCACAUUGGGACUGAGAUGCGGCCCAGACUCCUACGGGAGGCAGCAGUGGGGAAUAUUGCACAAUGGGUGGAAGCCUGAUGCAGCAACGCCGUGUGCGGGAUGACGGCCUUCGGGUUGUAAACCGCUUUCGCUCAUGACGAAGCUUUGUGUGACGGUAGUGGGUAAAGAAGCACCGGCUAACUACGUG